UGUCUACUCACAUGAUACAUAUGUAAAACUGGAAUGUCUCAGAGAUGAGUAUGGCCCCCUGCACAAUAAUGACAUGCAAAUUCCUGAAACCUUCCAUAUUUUU